rnacentral:rRNA from 1 species
AAUGAACGCUGGCGGCGCGCCUAAUACAUGCAAGUCGAGCGAGAAGACGUAGCAAUACGUUUGUAAAGCGGCGAACGGGUGAGGAAUACAUGGGUAACCUACCCUCGAGUGGGGAAUAACUAGCCGAAAGGUUAGCUAAUACCGCGUACGCUCCUUGGACUUCGGUUCAGGGAGGAAAGCGAUACCGUGGGUAUCGCGCUCUUGGAUGGGCUCAUGUCCUAUCAGCUUGUCGGUGAGGUAACGGCUCACCAAGGCUUCGACGGGUAGCUGGUCUGAGAGGACGAUCAGCCACACUGGCACUGCGACACGGGCCAGACUCCUACGGAGGCAGCAGUAAGGAAUAUUGCGCAAUGGGCGAAAGCCUGACGCAGCGACGCCGCGGUGGGGGA